rnacentral:piRNA from 1 species
UUUUCAAAGAGGUCAUCCAUGCUACUAGAG